rnacentral:lncRNA from 1 species
UAUACGCUAAACUGAAUUUACCUCAAACCAACAUCAAAUAGUUAAAAUUUUCAAUCCAAUUAAAUUUAAUGAUCAUAAAUUUAGUUUGUCAUUUAAAUUCAGUCACUAAACUAUAUAUCUAUUAUAUUUUUAAGAUGUCAACAUAUAUCAUACUGAACAAUAUGUAUAAACCAUUUCCAUGCUCUUCUUAUCUCCAACUCAGCCAAAGCUCUCAACAAAAUAAUAAUACGUCCUACAUAUUUUGGUGGACUGAUCAAUUCAAGAAAUAAAUCCACAGACAAACCAUAGAACAUAAGUAUAAGUUGAAAUAACUCAAAAUCUGCAUUAACUUACAACUCUGAAUAUAAGGAAUGUUCAGAGCAUCAAUUAUCUCGGAGAUGCAGAAUGAAGGAAUUUACAUUGUUCCAUCUCAAUGUUUCAAAUUUCAAUUGCUUCCCUCACAUAACCUACAAAGAACCAGCCAUGAGAGCUACAAAUCAUGAAAAAAGUUGCAGAUAUCAGUUCUAUCUACAAUAUCAUGGCCCACUUAUGCAUAAAAGACAAUUCGAAGCAAGAAUUUUCAGACAACCAAAAGAGAAAAUACAUUCCAAUUUAUAUGGGUAAGCAAGAAGGAUAAAGAAAAUAUUAGAAUAGAGAAUAUAUAUGAUAUUGGAAGUCGAAAAAUUUAAGAUCAAGAGGCAAGCUAGAUUCACGAUAUAUAGGAAUGUGUACCAGAAGCAUUUUGGUUGGAUGAAGUAAGUUUUAUAUAUCCAACCAGAGACCAUCCUCUCCCAAACCAGCAGGUCUGCAUGCUCGGGACAUCACUGGAUUUAAUAGAACUUUCUCUCAUCUGAAAUGCAGCCAGUAAUGAUUCUUACAGUCUGAAAAUUCAAUACUACACAGGUCACUGUGCAUUAUCUUCAAGCUUAAAUACAACCACAUAGAAAAAUUUGAAAUAAUUUUCAGGAAUCUUUUAGAGAACUCUAGAAAAAAUCUAUUUAAGUUGGAUGCUUAAAAAUAAGAAAUGAAUUUAUAACCCAUAUGUUGCAACAAAAAUCAAUGGAAUAUUGAGGACAUCAUUUUUCCAACAAAGAUCAUAUGCGUACGUUUACAAUAGGUGCAUUGUCUUUGUUUGUCUAGAUUGAGUUAGAUUCACAUCCCCCAUUUCCCCCUUAUUUUAGAUGAGCAAGAAACGAAGUGCCUAAAUAAAACUUCACUUACCUGUUUCCACCAUUUAUAUGUCCAAAAGGAGAAUAGCCUGGCUUCUCCCAAUUGAAAAAUUCUAUGAAUUCUUCAUAUGGGAACAAAAUCUGAAAAUCAAGGACAACCCAAUGUCAGAAAAUAACUCAUAAUUUCUUAAUAUUUUGAUAGAAUAACAAAUAGGUUGAUGCGAGGUAUAUCACCAUUCUAGUGCAGAAAGUUAUAUGUAUGUUAUGUUUGAUACAAUAUGUAAAGGUUAUGAACUAAGUUGUUAAUAAGUCAUGAUGAUUUUAUAAACCAAAUCUGGAAAGAAACUAAAAUUAAUGGCCAUUCUAGAUCACAGCAAUGUUGGAGAUUAACUUACAACCUAGCCAUUGUACACUGCAAUGGCUCAGCAAAUGGGUCAUCAGCAGCAAUUGGAUCACUUCAAAGACAAUAUAUCUUCAAAAGAUUUACCUUUGUUCAAGAAUCUUCUCAAGGUGAUAACUUUGUUGCAGAAAAACUCCAUUGGAUCAUAAUGAGUUCUAAAGCCAGAAUAUCAUGAUAAAUAUUAUCCGCUGAGGUUGUUCUUCUUGGAAAUCUUGUUACCUUUCAUGAUUCAAUAGGACCGUGUCAUAGAUUAAUGGAACUCCACAUUUUCACAUAUUGACACUUGAAAUUCGAAGGAAAAUUAAUACACAUUAUUACUUACGCAUUUCAUCGAAUAGUUGGUACACAUUGGCAUAUUUGAAUAAAAAACUCAAACACAGUGAAAUACAAUCAACAAUUCAGCAACACAACCAAUGAUUCAGUAAGAAUAGAUUAUACCACAGUUAAGUUCAAUGUUAUUUCAUCAAAAAAUGAUCAGAUUAAUAAAUGGAAUGCGAGUAUAUAAUAAAGAACAUACCUCGUAAAUCGAAUAUUGAUAAACCGUAGAUGAUGGUGAAUGGAGAAUCGAAUGCUGAGACAAAAGGCGAUUAGUGAUGAAGACUCGAUUGCUGAUGAAGACACUGAUUACAUAUCCAUUGAUAUUUAACAAAUGGGAAAUUGGAAGGAGAAAGGACAAAUGAGAAUGGAAAUUAGCUGAUUGUAGGCUUUUAAACCGAAGAUGAUGCGCGCUGAUUAUGGAAUUCCGAAAGCAUUGAUAUGAGAAUGGAAAAUUGGGAGAAGCAAGGAGAAUUGAGAAUGGGAUUAUCGGUGGAUUUUGAGGGGAGUUAGAUAAAUCAAAAUGCAGAGCAGAGAGAGCGCCACCUAGGAUAGAGAAUUGCUGUGGGCUCUCAAAAAU